rnacentral:precursor_RNA from 10 species
UAUAUACCGGUACACGCUGGGUGUCAGCAUCUCCGCAGCUUUUGCUGCAUUAGUUGCCCAUAAAGGGCGGAUACGUGAUGCAACAAAACUGCGGUUAUGUUGGACUACAGGUAUUCAACGAAAUUCCG